rnacentral:rRNA from 1 species
GUCUAUGGCCAUGCCACCCUGAACAAGUGCGAUGUCUGAUCUCAGAAGCUAAGCAGGGUCGGGCCUGGUUAGUACUUGAAUGGGAGACCACCUAGGAAGACCAGGUGCUGUAAGCA